ACCUGGUUGGCUCAGUUGGUUAAGCAUCUGACUUUGGCUCAGGUCAUGAUCUCACAGCUCAUGGGUUCAAGCCCCGUGUCGGGUU
rnacentral:tRNA from 1 species